GCUUAACACAUGCAAGUCGAGGGGCAGCAUGCUUUGUAGCAAUACAGAUUGAUGGCGACCGGCGCACGGGUGAGUAACGCGUAUGCAACUUACCUAUCAGAGGGGGAUAGCCCGGCGAAAGUCGGAUUAAUACCCCAUAAAACAGGGGUCCCGCAUGGGAAUAUUUGUUAAAGAUUCAUCGCUGAUAGAUAGGCAUGCGUUCCAUUAGGCAGUUGGCGGGGUAACGGCCCACCAAACCGACGAUGGAUAGGGGUUCUGAGAGGAAGGUCCCCCACAUUGGUACUGAGACACGGACCAAACUCCUACGGGAGGCAGCAGUGAGGAAUAUUGGUCAAUGGCCGAGAGGCUGAACCAGCCAAGUCGCGUGAAGGAAGAAGGAUCUAUGGUUUGUAAACUUCUUUUAUAGGGGAAUAAAGUGGAGGACGUGUCCUUUUUUGUAUGUACCCUAUGAAUAAGCAUCGGCUAACUCCGUGCCAGCAGCCGCGGUAAUACGGAGGAUGCGAGCGUUAUCCGGAUUUAUUGGGUUUAAAGGGUGCGUAGGUGGUGAUUUAAGUCAGCGGUGAAAGUUUGUGGCUCAACCAUAAAAUUGCCGUUGAAACUGGGUUACUUGAGUGUGUUUGAGGUAGGCGGAAUGCGUGGUGUAGCGGUGAAAUGCAUAGAUAUCACGCAGAACUCCGAUUGCGAAGGCAGCUUACUAAACCAUAACUGACACUGAAGCACGAAAGCGUGGGGAUCAAACAGGAUUAGAUACCCUGGUAGUCCACGCAGUAAACGAUGAUUACUAGGAGUUUGCGAUACAAUGUAAGCUCUACAGCGAAAGCGUUAAGUAAUCCACCUGGGGAGUACGCCGGCAACGGUGAAACUCAAAGGAAUUGACGGGGGCCCGCACAAGCGGAGGAACAUGUGGUUUAAUUCGAUGAUACGCGAGGAACCUUACCCGGGUUUGAACGUAGUCUGACCGGAGUGGAAACACUCUUUCUAGCAAUAGCAGAUUACGAGGUGCUGCAUGGUUGUCGUCAGCUCGUGCCGUGAGGUGUCGGCUUAAGUGCCAUAACGAGCGCAACCCUUAUCACUAGUUACUAACAGGUGAAGCUGAGGACUCUGGUGAGACUGCCAGCGUAAGCUGUGAGGAAGGUGGGGAUGACGUCAAAUCAGCACGGCCCUUACAUCCGGGGCGACACACGUGUUACAAUGGCAUGGACAAAGGGCAGCUACCUGGUGACAGGAUGCUAAUCUCCAAGCCAUGUCUCAGUUCGGAUCGGAGUCUGCAACUCGACUCCGUGAAGCUGGAUUCGCUAGUAAUCGCGCAUCAGCCAUGGCGCGGUGAAUACGUUCCCGGGCCUUGUACACACCGCCCGUCAAGCCAUGGGAGCCGGGGGUACCUGAAGUCCGUAACCGCAAGGAUCGGCCUAGGGUAAAACUGGUGACUGGGG
rnacentral:rRNA from 1 species